CUGUGUGUGUGUGUGUGUGUGUGCAUGGACUCAGCAGUCUAUGUGUAUGUAUGGACUCAGCAAUCUGUGUGUGUGUGUGUAUGUAUGGACUGCUGAGUCCAUACACACACACACACACAC